AAGAUGCGGACUACCUACACCUGGACAGAAAGACCCUAUGAAGCUUGACUGUAUCUUGGAAUUGGGUUUGGGCUUUUCUUGCGCAGCCUAGGUGGGAGGCUAUGAAGAUUACCUUCCGUGGUAAUUAGAGCCGUCAUUGAGAGACCACUCUGGAAGAGCUAGAAUCCUAAUGGGGAUCCUUGAAUCAGGACACUUGACAGUUUCAGGUGGGCAGUUUAUUUGGGGCGAAUGCCUCCUAAAAGGUAACGGAGGCGUGCAAAGGUUCCCUCAGUCUGGACGGAAAUCAGACAUUGAGUGUAAAGGCAAAAGGGAGCUUGACUGCAAGACCUACAAGUCGAGCAGGGGCGAAAGCCGGCCUUAGUGAUCCGACGGUGCCGCGUGGAAGGGCCGUCGCUCAACGGAUAAAAGUUACUCUAGGG
rnacentral:rRNA from 1 species